ACAACGGUAGCAUAAUCAUUUGUCUCUUAAUUGGGGACUGGUAUGAAUGGUUGGAUGAGAAAUAUACUUUCUUUAUUUUAUAUAAAUAAAUUGAUUUUUUAGUUAAAAAGCUAAAAUUAUUUUAUAGGACGAGAAGACCCUAUAGAACUUUAUAUAUAAGUAUAUAUAUAAAUUAUAUAUUUUUAUAUUUAUAUAUAUAUUAAUAUAUUAUGUUGGGGUGACAAAAAAAAUUAUAUAACUUUUUUUAUAUAUAACAUAUAUGGAUGUUUUUUUGAUCCUUUAUUAUGGAAAAUAAGAUUAAGUUACCUUAGGGAUAACAGCGUUAUUUUUUCGGAGAGUUCAUAUCGAAUGAA
rnacentral:rRNA from 1 species